UACGAAGGGGGCUAGCGUUGUUCGGAAUCACUGGGCGUAAAGCGCACGUAGGCGGAUCUUUAAGUCAGGCGUGAAAUUCCUGGGCUCAACCUGGGGACUGCGCUUGAGACGUGUGGGCUUGAGUGGGGAAGAGGGUCGUGGAAUUCCCAGUGUAGAGGUGAAAUUCGUAGAUAUUGGGAAGAACACCGGUGGCGAAGGCGGCGACCUGGUCCUUGACUGACGCUGAGGCGCGAAAGCGUGGGGAGCAAACAGG
rnacentral:rRNA from 1 species